rnacentral:rRNA from 1 species
UACGUAGGUGGCAAGCGUUGUCCGGAAUUAUUGGGCGUAAGGCGCGCGCAGGCGGUCCCUUAAGUCCGAUGUGAAAGCCCACGGCUCAACCGUGGAGGGUCAUUGGAAACUGGGGGACUUGAGUGCAGGAGAGAAGAGUGGAAUUCCACGUGUAGCGGUGAAAUGCGUAGAGAUGUGGAGGAACACCAGUGGCGAAGGCGACUCUUUGGCCUGUAACUGACGCUGAGGCGCGAAAGCGUGGGGAGCAAACAGG